rnacentral:rRNA from 1 species
GGGGGAACGGUUAAUCGGAAUUACUGGGCGUAAAGCGCACGCAGGCGGUUUGUUAAGUCAGAUGUGAAAUCCCCGGGCUCAACCUGGGAACUGCAUUUGAAACUGGCAAGCUAGAGUCUCGUAGAGGGGGGUAGAAUUCCAGGUGUAGCGGUGAAAUGCGUAGAGAUCUGGAGGAAUACCGGUGGCGAAGGCGGCCCCCUGGACGAAGACUGACGCUCAGGUGCGAAAGCGUGGGGAGCAAACAGGAUUAGAUACCCUGGUAGUCCACGCUGUAAACGAUGUCGAUUUGGAGGUUGUGCCCUUGAGGCGUGGCUUCCGGAGCUAACGCGUUAAAUCGACCGCCUGGGGAGUACGGCCGCAAGGUUAAAACUCAAAUGAAUUGACGGGGGCCCGCACAAGCGGUGGAGCAUGUGGUUUAAUUCGAUGCAACGCGAAGAACCUUACCUACUCUUGACAUCCAGAGAACUUUCCAGAGAUGGAUUGGUGCCUUCGGGAACUCUGAGACAGGUGCUGCAUGGCUGUCGUCAGCUCGUGUUGUGAAAUGUUGGGUUAAGUCCCGCAACGAGCGCAACCCUUAUCCUUUGUUGCCAGCGGUUCGGCCGGGAACUCAAAGGAGACUGCCAGUGAUAAACUGGAGGAAGGUGGGGGAUGACGUCAAGUCAUCAUGGCCCUUACGAGUAGGGCUACACACGUGCUACAAUGGCGUAUACAAAGAGAAGCGACCUCGCGAGAGCAAGCGGACCUCAUAAAGUACGUCGUAGUCCGGGAUUGGAGUCUGCAACUCGACUCCAUGAAGUCGGAAUCGCUAGUAAUCGUAGAUCAGAAUGCUACGGGUGAAUACGUUCCCGGGGCCUUGUACACACCGCCCGUCAACCCAUGGGGAAGUGGGUUGCAAAAAGAAGUAGGUAGCUUAACCUUCCGGGAGGGCGCUUACCACUUUGUGAUUCAUGACUGGGGUGAUAGAAAAAAAAACCCAAAAAAAACAGAGAAAAAAAAAGGAUAAAAAAAGGAGGGU